CCUUCCUUCCUUCCUUCUUUUCCUUCCUUCCUUCCUUCUUUCUUUUCUUUCCUUCCUUCCUUCCUACCUUCCUUCCCUCCUUCUCUCCCCCCCUCCCAAUGACAUUGAAUCCAUCCCUGGAGCCGUGCAGAGCCUCCUGGGCAACGCACAGAUGCAGUGGUGGGAUAGGGAGCAGGGACUACAGCCCUGACAUAAGUCACCACCGUUUGCCGGCUUCUGAAUGCACCCCAUGUUCCAACACCGCCAUCCAGCAAAAAAGGGUAUGCCCUGGGUAUUUGCUACUUUGAACAUCCCAACCCUGCCACCAAAAAAAAAAAAAAAAAAAAAAAGUUCCUCCAGCAAAUGCUGCUCCAAGGGGAGGCCAGCUUCUAAACGUGAAACAGCCACCUUGCACUAAGAGGCUCUAGAGGACUGCUGGGGCAGCACUGGCCCUGCUGCUGCUUCAGUGCAAGAACUGCUGUCAUCAGCAUGGGCGGUGUCAAAGACCUGAGGCCAGAGGUUUGCAUCCAGUCUGACCUUCCAGAAGUGAUCUGAAGGCUGACAGCAGAAACUUGACAUCUGAGGCACCCUGGGAAAACAGCUUUAUUCCCUCACAGAGUCCCAGAAUGGGGACUUUUUGACCAGCUGAGAUCCAGAUGGAAUUUCACAAAGAAGAGACACUGAAGGAGACAAAGGAAAGAUGUUCUGCCUAUACUUAGCUAAAAUAAGAACAGAAAGUAGAUUUUCAAGAGUUGCUCCUCCUGAUGCCCUGUCAUACACGAGCAGUGAAGGAUCGAGAAUACACCUGAUCCAGCCACUCUAUAUUUUUCUCAGCAUUUGCUCAAAUGUUAGCAUUUGGCUGUCCUCCCCCUCCUUUCAGCCCCCUUCCCUUCCCCUCCCCUUCAGACUCUACAAAUGAACGACUCAUUGUCCUCUGCCUGGGCUGUGCCAGUGGAGGGCCCUCUAGUACAGCUUUUGCCAGAUCAGACCUUGUCUGGGCUUCCAGUUUAGGAUGGGAUUCUGAAAACAAAACAAAAAUAGUGUUUGAAACCACUGAAGGUAUCAGAAACUUGAGAAAGCUAUGCUUAUUAUACAUGAAUCAUUUGACAGCUAUUGAGGAUGGCAUAACCUACAUUGUAAGAUGAGUCCCUGAUGAACCAACUGACCUUGAAGAAAUCCAACUAGUCAACUGCUAUAUCUUCAGUGAUGCUGUGGAAAUUCUGGGUAGUUAUAAUAAUAGCAAAUUUACAAACUGAAUAUGUGUGUUUUGAAAAUUAAUACAUAAAUCUCUAACACAAGAAAAAGCAUAUGAUUCUAUGAUACUAAGUCCUUUGUCCUAAACAAUAUUUUAACUGAUGGCUUAAGUGACAGAAUGGAGGAUGCCCUUAUAAAAUUUCAGAUGAUACUGAUCUUGGAAGGCUUACAAGCCCUGUUGGAAUACAAAACCACAAAUAAAAUUGGAUGCAUUCAAGAGGAGUUUUAGAAACAGCAAUAGGGAAUUCAUUACAGAUAGAUGUAAAGGGCUGUAGCUGGGAAUGAGUCAUCAGAUUCAUUAAAAUAAAUGGAGAUUUUAUCUGUGUAACAGAAAAAAAUCAGAGCUCUUCUGUGAAGGAUGGGGAAAACUAUGCUAUUGCAAAAAAACCUGUGCUGGUGAGUCCUGAAAAACAAAUCUGUGCUCAGCCUCAGUAUGAUAAUGAAGAAAGCUACAGAGAGAGAGCACCAAAAAGUUAGAGCUUAAAAAAACAUGACUUAUGAGAGAAAUGGUUUAGUUUUGUUUUGGUUGAGACAGAAGUCUGAAAAAGAGCUUUCCCAGUGGACUUACAAUCUUUCAUAUUUGAGAAAUGCUUUUCUCCAGAACCACAUAUUGAAUCAGCAGCUUGAGGAUUAUUUGGAUUUCCUUGUUUGCAAGUCAGACUGGAGUGAGCAUAGUAUCAUAUCCUCUUCUGGAAGAAACAGGUCAAAAAAAUUGAGAGAUUGUCUUGCAUAAGCCCCAGAUCUUGCAACCUGUAACACCUCUUGGUCUUUAAAUGAUUUCAAGGAGUGUUCACUUUAUCUGUGUGCUUUUUAUGAGCUCAUUUUUAUUAGCUUUGACAUUUAACUAUGUGAAUUAGAGAAAGCUCUUAAGAAAAAGGUAACAAAGCCUAUAACCUGAUGGAGAAUAGGUAGGUGUUUUACCAGGUUUUUUUUCAGUUAUAUAGUAGAGUUGCCUGACCUAGCAAAGAGAAACUUUUCCUACUGUCAGGGCAAUUCUAGUAUAGUUACAUCUCUAUAAUUCAAUAUGGGAAAAUUUAUUGCUGGACAGAAUAUGCCAAUGAAAAGUUAGAUGUCUAAAAUAACAACAGGAUAUUUAGAGCAUAUUAGUUCUACGGGAGAGGGCAUUAAGCAGAAAUGUAACCAAAGAGCUAUUCUGUAGUCAUUUGCCACAAACAAAUUCUUACUCCACACCAAAACACCAGAUAACCUAUUGCAAGUGACUUUUACCGCCUUUAGUCUACCACCAUUUUGGCUUAUAAAAAGAAGUCAUCAUUUAUUUCUCUCUUUCACAGUAAGCCAUCUCUCAUUUAACAUGUGGUAAGAGUUUACAUGUGGACACUAUAAGUUGCAGGUGUGCUCUCAAGUUCACAUUGUCGUCCACUUUACAGGAAAUGAUUGUUUUCUGAUACCUUUAGUUCCUGAUGUAGACAAGCCAGGUUGCAGUUUCCAGGCCCUCACAGUACACAACUAUCGCAGGAGAGCGCUGUGUACACGAGGAAGCUCCAAACAGAGCCAAAGAAAACAGAGGAGUCACUUGGCUACUUCUGUAAAAAGUGGUGGCCAAUUAAAAGCAGUUGCAAAAACUCUGAUCUAGAAAGCUGCUGCAGAAUAGAGUUAAUGGCUAUUGUUGAACCUGAAGAAGAAAGUAUGCGUAGACCAGGCAGGGAGCCUUGUUAAGAACAAGAUCUUGGACAGUUGGUGCUUAAAGUUCAGUCCUUGAGAUUGAAUGGAGAUGGGUGACCCCCUUUUUUUUUUUUUUUGGGAGGAUGAUUGCAAUUAAGGGACCUUAAGGAGAAACUUAGGGGAAAACCAGGAGCUCUGACACAAUGCUGAGAAAUUAGAAUGAACAAGAAAUAUUUAUUUCAUACUUCAGGUGCCUGUGCAGUUUUGUUGCCAGUUGGCAUCUCAGACAUAAUAAUACCAAGCUGGAAAUGUGAGCUACAGAGCAGUCAAAUUUUGGUGAGGUCAAGAAAGAAAAUAAGAGCCAGAUGAAGGCUUAUGUCUGAUGCUAUGCCAAAAGCCGAAAGACUAUGCAAGCACUGAGGCAAUCUUCUUCCUAGAGCUAUAAAUGGAUAUGUAAAGUUUUUCAGUAGAGAAAAGGAAAGAAGAAAACAAUUGAAAAACAGGCCCAUGAAGUCACAAAAUUGAAAAAACGAUGUUUCUCAGAUAGCUGGGGACACAUCUCUACAAUUGAUUUGACAGUGUUAUCAAAUUGAAUUGCUUAAACUUCACCUGUUUUUAGUCUCUUGUGCUAUUCAACCUUAUUGUUCCAGUCUGAAGACCUUCUGUUUUCUAUGAAAAAAUUAACAAAAUCACACAUAAUUUCAUUAUUGUGAUUAAAGGACU